rnacentral:lncRNA from 1 species
GCAUCCUCAUGGAUACGAGCUGGGUUGUUAACCCAUUGAGCCACAACAGGAACUCCCCAGUUUGUGAAAUGGGUGUAAUAAUAAUAACGCCUUUCUUAUAGUGUUGUCAGAAGAAUAAGAGAAUGUUUUAAAUUUUAAUUCGGAAAUAAUUUUAAACAGAGAAAAUUACAAAAAAUGUGGAAUUCACGUAGCCUGAUAUCAGCUUCCUAUAAUAUUAAAACUUACGUAGCUGUAAUAUAGUUCUUAAAGCCAGAAAGUUAAAAUUACCAUAAUGCAAUUAACUAGAGACCUUAUUAGACGAUCACCCGUUUUUUCCUCACUUUUUCCUAUUUUAGACUCAAAACCAAUUUCCUACACUGCAUGCGAUUCUUAUAUCUUUCUGUCUUCUUCCAAUCUGAUGUAUCUUGCUUGUCCUUGCUUGUCUUUCAUGACUUUGGCCCUUAGGAUGAGAGCUGGGCAAUUAUUCCAAGAAUGCUAUUUUAAUUUUUCUUUAACACAGCAGUAACCAGAACCACAGCAGUGACAACGUUGGAUCCUUAAGCCAUUGAGCCAUCCAGGAAAUCCUGAUAUUUUCUAACAAUUAUAGUGAUUUUAUGCAUUUAAAAAAUUUUUAAUUGAAGUAUGGUUGAUUUAUAAUGUUAAUUUCUGCUGUAUGGAAAAAUGAUUCAGUUAUGCAUAUAUACAUUCUUUUCCAUCCUUUUCCAUUAUGGCUUCUCACAGGGUAUUGAAUAUGGUUCUCUAUGCUAUGCAGUAGGACCUUGUUUUUUAUCCAUCCUAUAUAUAAUAGUUUGCAUCUAUUAAUCCCAGACUCCCAAUCUGUGUACCAUAUCAGGAAGAACAUGAUGUCACUAUUUCUCACUAGUAUUCAUGUUAACUUUGAUCAGUUGGUUAAGGUGAUGUCUGUUGGGUUUUCUUCCUGUAAAGCAACUUUAAUUCACUUUGUAAUAGAUAAAUGUUUUGGGGGGAUAUGUUGAAACUAUGCAAAUACCUUGUUUCUUUGAAAACUGUCACCUACUGAUUUUAUCAUUCAUCCGUGCCUGUAACAAUUAUUACUGUCUAAUGGUGAUUUUGAAUUUGCCUUGAGUCAUCUAUAUUUAUUUGUUGGGAUAUUUUUACAAGAAAUAAUUGCGUACUAUGCAUUCAUAUGUUUUAAGUCAUUAAUUUAUAUUAGAAUUGUGGAUAUUUAAUAGUAUCAUUAUUUAUUUUGCUGCUCGAAUUGUCUUGGCUUUGGCCUUUCUGCCUCCUUUAGCUUGAGUCUUCUGUCCUUUGACAUGUGCUGAUGUUUUUUCCAGCAUUUUCUUAUUUUCUAACACUAUGAGAUGUUCCAAGUUCAUUUUGUAUUUUCUGCCUCAACACUAGACUCAAUCACUAAUGUAAGGAGCCCUGGUUCUUUUCAUUAGUAUUUGGAAACCAAGAUCUGGGUGUUAGGUAUGUUCAUUGCUACUGGGGUACAAUUGCUUCUAAGUAAUCUCAGCCAACAUAUUCACAAAGACACAGACAUUUAUAUUUAUUUCUAUGUCUGCAUGUUUAUAUAUUAAAAAUGAAACUGACAACUCCAAUUCUAACUUGACAGGACAAGGUACAUUCUAACCGUUUCCCUUUCCUUAUUUGCAACAUCCUUCCCUGAGAGGAAGAAACCUAGCUCUCACCAUGAAUAAUAUACUCAUUUGUCCCGUUGUAGCUACAGAAAGUAUAAAGCAGUUUAUAAAGUAGUUACAAAAUUUGUAAACAUUAGGCGACUACAGAAUUGCUAAAUCACAAUCCCUGUGAGAAGCAGAUUUGCUUUCUAGAGUACAGUACUUAUAUACAGUUCCUUGGUCUUUUAACUUAAUAGCAUCCAGUCGACACACUGUUAUCCAGAGUUAGGUUAACAUUCUAGCUGUUUUUAUUUCUGUGAAUUGUUUUUUCUAGAAGCUUAUCAAUGUGUCAGGGAAAUUUUCUCUUUUGUUUAUUUUAGGUGGCGUGUUGGAAGACAAAAAGCUAUCUUGGGAGUUCCCAUCGUGGCUCAGAGGUAAUGAACCUAACCAGUAUCCAUGAGGAUGUGAGUUCAAUCUCUGGCCUUGCUCAGUGGGUUAAGGAUCCGGUGUUGCCUUGAGCUGUGGUGUAGGUGGCAGACAUGGCUUAGAUCCCAAGUUGCUGUGACUGUGUGGCAUAGGCUGGCAGCUCUAGCUCUGAUUCGACCCCUAGGCUGGGAACUUCCAUAUGCCACGGGUGUGGCCCUAAAAGAGACAAAAAAAAAAAAAAAAGCUAGCUCUAAACCUGUUGGUCUCAGUUUGAGUGUUGUUAGAAGAGCAUUGUGGAUUGGGGUUAGAUGACUUCUGGCUUCGCUGCUCACUCUUGCCCUCUGCCUACCCUGCACCAUUCUCCCUGAACUUGGUUUCCCUUCAAUUUGUUAUGGAAAUUAGAAAUGAAAGUAGAGAUGUUUUAUGAAUGGUUAUGUAAUUGAAAACUUCUCAUUUCAUAUUAAUAAUUUGCUUUAGGAGUUCCUGUAGUGGUGCAGUGGUUAACAAAUCCGACUAGGAACCAUGAGGUUGCGGGUUCUAUCCCUUCCCUUGCUCAGUGGGUUGAGGAUCCGGCAUUGUGGUGAGCUGUGGUGUAGGUUGCAAACACGGCUUGGAUCCCGUGUUGGUGUGGCUCUGGUGUAGGCCGGUGGCUACGGCUCCGAUUAGACCCCUAGCCUGGGAAUCUCCACAUGCCGUGGGAGUGGCUUAAGAAAAGGCAAAAAGACUAAAUAAAUAAAUAAAUAAUUUGCUUUAUAUGUUUGCAUGUGUGUAUAUCAGCUUUGCUUAAAGUGGGAUACCUUUGACAAAUCCAAUGUGGGAUAAAUGAGUAGUCCUUCAUUCUCCAUCUGAGUCCAUAAGGAAUACCUGGAUAGUUGGAACCUUUUGAAUAAGAGAUGUGCUGAUAUGUUCCAAAUAAAGACAAGAAGAAAAUGGAUAUACCUGAUACCGUAUAUUAUCGAUGCCAUUCUGGAGUGCUUGACAAUUUGGGGAGAAAUAUACACUAUUGGUUAGUAUCUAUUUUCAAGUAUAAAGAGAAGAAGCUAAAGAGUUUACUAUAUUCUGAAGCUAAAACACAAAAAUGAACAAAAGUAAUAAUCUUAUUUUCUUUUUAUAUAGUCAGAAUAAAAAACAAGCCUAAUGUAUAUUGAAAGAUGAUGGUAGAUAGAAAAGUUCUCCAGGCUGGUUAAAAGCUAAAGAAGAGGGGUUCCCACCAUGCACAGUGGGUUAAGAAUUUUACUGCAGCAACUUGGAUCUCUGCAGAGGCACAGGUUUGAUCCCCGGCCCAAUGUAGUGGGUUAAAGGAUCCAGCCUAGUAUCCUGUGGCUUGGGAUUCAAUCCAAAGCCAGGAAUUUUCUUUUGCUGUGGGUGCAGCCAUAAAAUUAAAAAAAAAAAAAAGCUACAAAACUUUAUCAUUAUGGAUUUUCUUAAGGGCAGAAAUACUGUAACUAUUAUGGAUGAUUUUAGACUCUUUGUGCUAUUUCCUUCAAAAUGUGUCAACAGUUUUUAACCAAUGAUUUAAAUUUUUCAAAGAAAUAAUCAUCUUUUCUUAUAAUUGGUGAUAAAAUUGACACAAAUCUGUUUUAAAUAUUUGUAUUCAAAAGCAAAUAUUUUCUAUUUUAUUAUUAUGCUAUAAAGAAAAAGAGCAUAAUUGAUAUUCGGGAACUAGAGUUAACAGGAAUUGUGAAGUAACAUAUUCUUUGAAAUAUUGACCAAUUCUCUCUUUAGAAUUAUUUUGCCCUUCCAAUAUUUUAAAUAUUAAUAUUUGAAAAUGGAAUGAGCAACAGGACCAUGAGAUAAUCAAAUUACCAUCUUAUCAAGGCUAAUGAUAGGAUGGUCUCUUUCAUGAAUCAUUAGUAAUUCAUUUCACACAGCCACAAAAGCAUUCAAAUGCCUUUAUACGAGGGCCUCCCAUUACAUGAUAAAAAAAGUCAGAAGGUUACUUAGGCAAAAUUCAUUGAACAAAAUUGAAAACUUUACGCCAGAUGAAAUCUACAUGACAGUGUCUUCAAGCUUCCAAACACUCCUGAAAAUAGAUGGCAAUUUUUUAAACAAAAGGUAAUCUGGUUAUGCCACUUCAUAUUAUAAGAAGAUGUAAACUAUCAGUGCUCUCCAGUUAAAUCGUGUCUUUUACAAUUAAUAACCAUAGCUCCAUAAUAUUAUACAAAUAAUAGCACAUCAACAAACCCUGUUGGGAAUUUGACAUAAAACUGUUUGAUUACAAAUCAAUGUUUUGUGAUUUUAGCAGCAUUGACUUUUAUCAGGAUAAGCACUUAGUCUUUUCUAGGUUAGUCUUAAGCUAGAAGAUAAUACAGAAAUCUUUUUGAAACCAUGGUAAUAUGUAGUAUAGUUUAUAUAAUAAUCAAAAUUUUCUGCUAUCACUCAAUGGCUCUUUCCUCAUAUUUGAAAAGCUCAGCUUUCACUGAGUGAUAUGAGAUAGUGUAUGCAUAGGAGAGUAGGAUGUACUUUUUCAAAUUUUAAAAAAUAAAAUGAAGGGAAAAACUGUGACUGAAAUUAAAAUUUAUGGUAAAAAUUCAUCUCCCCAUUUUCCCUCCCUUCCCCAUGUGCUACUUCUCUUGUCCCAGUCCCUUGGUGACCAUAAGCAGGUGUUUCCCUGCAAGCACAGUGUUUUCCAGUUUCACUGCUAGGGCUCUAUAAAGAAGAGAGAACUAUUAAGUUCACAAAGGUUUUGAAAUGGUUCCAUUUUCAUAGAGUAUUAGUAAGAUGCAAGUUCCCUUCUGUCCUCCUCUAAAUCCAGGUCAGCUGAACUCAGGUUUAAAGUUCCUAGGGAUCCUUAAGGCCCCAGGAUUUAUCUCUUGCUAGAGGCUUCCUCUUGCUGGUCCCCUCAGGGCUUGCAGCCACUCCAGGCUCCUCCCUGUGCCAUGGCUGCUGCUGAGAUGAACAUAGCAUACAGAACUUCUGCCUGAUUCCAAAAAAAUUACCUCAAAGGCUGAAAUAGCCAUGUACACUCUGGAAUUCCCCAUUCAGCUCACCCUGUUGCAAAGGCAUUGAGUCUAUGUCUUGGCUGUACUUGCUCAUCAAAUCUCAAAUCUUCCCUGGAUGCCACCAGAGCUCACCUUCCUUGAAGUCACUACCACUUUUUCCCAAUGUUAGCCUGCCAUCACUCUCUCCCUUCUGUCUUGUUCCUCAUCCCCAAUUCUGGCUGAUAGGAAUACUACCACAGUUCAAGGCUUCUGUAGACCUUAAUUCAUCCUACCUGGAGGCAACCAGAAUCUCUUGCAUCUGUCACUGUUACUAAAUCAAUCUGCAAACAACCCAGGGCCAGCACAGCUCUGAUGUCACCUCUGGUGCCCUGGGAUGCUGUGGCUGCCUGCGAGCUGCCUUUAUGAACCAGUUCUAACUUUGAUCAGAGACUGAUGAGGAGGUUGCCCAGCCCCUCUGCCUGACUCAGAGUUGCUUCCAAACAUCUUGUCCAGAUCAUCUCCUCUAUGUUUGCUUGGUGCUUGUUUGUCUUUGGAUAUGGGUUUCUGGAUUCAAACUAAUUGAGACCAUUGUUUGAAGUCAUGCCUAGAGACUCAGGACUCACCAUGACAGUGCUUCUGCUGCUCCUAGAAAUCAUCUUCC